rnacentral:rRNA from 1 species
CAUAGGUUAAUGAGGCGAACCGGGGGAACUGAAACAUCUAAGUACCCCGAGGAAAAGAAAUCAACCGAGAUUCCCCCAGUAGCGGCGAGCGAACGGGGAGGAGCCCAGAGCCUGAAUCAGCAUGUGUGUUAGUGGAAGCGUCUGGAAAGGCGCGCGAUACAGGGUGACAGCCCCGUACACAAAAGCGCAUGUGCUGUGAGCUCGAUGAGUAGGGCGGGACACGUGGUAUCCUGUCUGAAUAUGGGGGGACCAUCCUCCAAGGCUAAAUACUCCUGACUGACCGAUAGUGAACCAGUACCGUGAGGGAAAGGCGAAAAGAACCCCGGCGAGGGGAGUGAAAAAGAACCUGAAACCGUGUACGUACAAGCAGUGGGAGCACCCUUUGGGGUGUGACUGCGUACCUUUUGUAUAAUGGGUCAGCGACUUAUAUUCUGUAGCAAGGUUAACCGAAUAGGGGAGCCGGAGGGAAACCGAGUCUUAAUUGGGCGUUAAGUUGCAGGGUAUAGACCCGAAACCCGGUGAUCUAGCCAUGGGCAGGUUGAAGGUUGGGUAACACUAACUGGAGGACCGAACCGACUAAUGUUGAAAAAUUAGCGGAUGACCUGUGGCUGGGGGUGAAAGGCCAAUCAAACCGGGAGAUAGCUGGUUCUCCCCGAAAGCUAUUUAGGUAGCGCCUCGUGAAUUCAUCUCCGGGGGUAGAGCACUGUUUCGGCUAGGGGGCCAUCCCGGCUUACCAACCCGAUGCAAACUGCGAAUACCGGAGAAUGUUAUCACGGGAGACACACGGCGGGUGCUAACGUCCGUCGUGAAGAGGGAAACAACCCAGACCGCCAGCUAAGGUCCCAAAGUCAUGGUUAAGUGGGAAACGAUGUGGGAAGGCCCAGACAGCCAGGAUGUUGGCUUAGAAGCAGCCAUCAUUUAAAGAAAGCGUAAUAGCUCACUGGUCGAGUCGGCCUGCGCGGAAGAUGUAACGGGGCUAAACCAUGCACCGAAGCUGCGGCAGCGACGCUGAUGCGUUGUUGGGUAGGGGAGCGUUCUGUAAGCCUGCGAAGGUGGCCUGUGAGGGUUGCUGGAGGUAUCAGAAGUGCGAAUGCUGACAUAAGUAACGAUAAAGCGGGUGAAAAGCCCGCUCGCCGGAAGACCAAGGGUUCCUGUCCAACGUUAAUCGGGGCAGGGUGAGUCGACCCCUAAGGCGAGGCCGAAAGGCGUAGUCGAUGGGAAACGGGUUAAUAUUCCCGUACUUGGUGUUACUGCGAAGGGGGGACGGAGAAGGCUAUGUUGGCCGGGCGACGGUUGUCCCGGUUUAAGCGUGUAGGUGUGUGUUCCAGGUAAAUCCGGUUCACUUUAACACUGAGGCGUGAUGACGAGGCACUACGGUGCUGAAGCAACAAAUGCCCUGCUUCCAGGAAAAGCCUCUAAGCAUCAGGUAACAUCAAAUCGUACCCCAAACCGACACAGGUGGUCAGGUAGAGAAUACCAAGGCGCUUGAGAGAACUCGGGUGAAGGAACUAGGCAAAAUGGUGCCGUAACUUCGGGAGAAGGCACGCUGACAUGUAGGUGAAGUGAUUUACUCAUGGAGCUGAAGUCAGUCGAAGAUACCAGCUGGCUGCAACUGUUUAUUAAAAACACAGCACUGUGCAAACACGAAAGUGGACGUAUACGGUGUGACGCCUGCCCGGUGCCGGAAGGUUAAUUGAUGGGGUCAGCGCAAGCGAAGCUCCUGAUCGAAGCCCCGGUAAACGGCGGCCGUAACUAUAACGGUCCUAAGGUAGCGAAAUUCCUUGUCGGGUAAGUUCCGACCUGCACGAAUGGCGUAAUGAUGGCCAGGCUGUCUCCACCCGAGACUCAGUGAAAUUGAACUCGCUGUGAAGAUGCAGUGUACCCGCGGCAAGACGGAAAGACCCCGUGAACCUUUACUAUAGCUUGACACUGAACAUUGAGCCUUGAUGUGUAGGAUAGGUGGGAGGCUUUGAAGUGUGGACGCCAGUCUGCAUGGAGCCGGCCUUGAAAUACCACCCUUUAAUGUUUGAUGUUCUAACGUGGACCCGUGAUCCGGGUUGCGGACAGUGUCUGGUGGGUAGUUUGACUGGGGCGGUCUCCUCCUAAAGAGUAACGGAGGAGCACGAAGGUUGGCUAAUCCUGGUCGGACAUCAGGAGGUUAGUGCAAUGGCAUAAGCCAGCUUGACUGCGAGCGUGACGGCGCGAGCAGGUGCGAAAGCAGGUCAUAGUGAUCCGGUGGUUCUGAAUGGAAGGGCCAUCGCUCAACGGAUAAAAGGUACUCCGGGGAUAACAGGCUGAUACCGCCCAAGAGUUCAUAUCGACGGCGGUGUUUGGCACCUCGAUGUCGGCUCAUCACAUCCUGGGGCUGAAGUAGGUCCCAAGGGUAUGGCUGUUCGCCAUUUAAAGUGGUACGCGAGCUGGGUUUAGAACGUCGUGAGACAGUUCGGUCCCUAUCUGCCGUGGGCGCUGGAGAACUGAGGGGGGCUGCUCCUAGUACGAGAGGACCGGAGUGGACGCAUCACUGGUGUUCGGGUUGUCAUGCCAAUGGCACUGCCCGGUAGCUAAAUGCGGAAGAGAUAAGUGCUGAAAGCAUCUAAGCACGAAACUUGCCCCGAGAUGAGUUCUCCCUGAGACUUAGAGUCUCCUGAAGGAACGUUGAAGACGACGACGUUGAUAGGCCGGGUGUGUAAGCGCAGCGAUGCGUUGAGCUAACCGGUACUAAUGAACCGUGAGGCUUAACCUUACA